rnacentral:rRNA from 1 species
AGUGAACGCUGGCGGCAGGCCUAACACAUGCAAGUCGAACGGCAGCACAGUAAGAGCUUGCCCUUACGGGUGGCGAGUGGCGGACGGGUGAGGAAUACAUCGGAAUCUACUUUUUCGUGGGGGAUAACGUAGGGAAACUUACGCUAAUACCGCAUACGACCUACGGGUGAAAGCAGGGGAUCUUCGGACCUUGCGCGAUUGAAUGAGACGAUGUCGGAUUAGCUAGUUGGCGGGGUAAAGGCCCACCAAGGCGACGAUCCGUAGCUGGUCUGAGAGGAUGAUCAGCCACACUGGAACUGAGACACGGUCCAGACUCCUACGGGAGGCAGCAGUGGGGAAUAUUGGGCAAUGGGCGCAAGCCUGAUCCAGCCAUACCGCGUGAGUGAAGAAGGCCUUCGGGUCGUAAAGCCCUUUUGUUGGGAAAGAAAAUCAGCAGGUUAAUCCCCCGCUGUUCUGACGGUACCCAAAGAAUAAGCACCGGCUAACUUCGUG